CAAGCGAUGGGGUGACGCAGGAAGGUAGCUGGGCCAGUCAGUGGUUGUACUGGUGUAAGAGUGUAGGCCGUGACAUAGGCAAAUCCGUGUCACAUUAAGGCUGAGACUUGAUGCAUACCCGUUGUGGGGAAUUCAGUGAUCCUAUGCUGCCGAGAAAAGCCUCUAGUGAGUUCAUACACGGCCCGUACCCCAAACCGACACAGGUGAUCAGGUAGAGAAUACCAAGGCGAUCGAGAGAACUGUGGUUAAGGAACUCGGCAAAAUGCCCCCGUAACUUCGGGAGAAGGGGGACCAUGCCCGGUGAACAUCUUCACGGUGGGAGCUGGGUGUGGUCGCAGAGACCAGAGAGAAGCGACUGUUUACUAAAAACACAGGUCCGUGCGAAGACGUAAGUCGAUGUAUACGGACUGACGCCUGCCCGGUGCUGGAAGGUUAAGAGGACCGGUUAGCCGUAAGGCGAAGCUGAGAAUUUAAGCCCCAGUAAACGGCGGUGGUAACUAUAACCAUCCUAAGGUAGCGAAAUUCCUUGUCGGGUAAGUUCCGACCUGCACGAAUGGCGUAACGACUUCUCUGCUGUCUCGACCACAGACUCGGCGAAAUUGCACUACGAGUAAAGAUGCUCGUUACGCGCGGCAGGACGAAAAGACCCCGGGACCUUUACUAUAGCUUGGUAUUGGCGUUCGAUUCGGUUUGUGUAGGAUAGGUGGGAGACUGUGAAGCAUGCACGCCAGUGUGUGUGGAGUCGUUGUUGAAAUACCACUCUGAUCGUAUUGGACGUCUAACCUCGGCCCAUGAUCUGGGUUAGGGACAGUGCCUGGUGGGUAGUUUAACUGGGGCGGUUGCCUCCUAAAGAGUAACGGAGGCGCCCAAAGGUUCCCUCAGCCUGGAUGGCAAUCAGGUGUUGAGUGCAAGUGCACAAGGGAGCUUGACUGUGAGACUGACACGUCGAGCAGGGACGAAAGUCGGGACUAGUGAUCCGGCACCGGCAAGUGGAAGCGGUGUCGCUCAACGGAUAAAAGGUACCCCGGGGAUAACAGGCUGAUCUUCCCCAAGAGUCCAUAUCGACGGGAUGGUUUGGCACCUCGAUGUCGGCUCGUCGCAUCCUGGGGCUGGAGUAGGUCCCAAGGGUUGGGCUGUUCGCCCAUUAAAGCGGCACGCGAGCUGGGUUUAGAACGUCGUGAGACAGUUCGGUCUCUAUCCGCCGCGCGCGUAAGAAACUUGAGGAAGGCUGUCCCUAGUACGAGAGGACCGGGACGGACGAACCUCUGGUGUGCCAGUUGUUCCACCAGGAGCAUGGCUGGUUAGCUACGUUCGGAAGGGAUAACCGCUGAAAGCAUCUAAGCGGGAAGCCUGUUCCAAGAUGAGGUUUCUCACCACCUUGCGUGGUUAAGGCCCCCUACAGACCAUGGGGUUGAUAGGCCGGAACUGGAAGCGCAGCAAUGCGUGGAGGUGACCGGUACUAAUAGGCCGAGGGCUU
rnacentral:rRNA from 1 species